CAAUAGCGUAUAUUAAAGUUGUUGCAGUUAAAAAGCUCGUAGUUGAACCUUGGGCCUGGCUGGCCGGUCUGCCUCACCGCAUGCACUGGUCCGGCCGGGCCUUUCCCUCUGGGGAUCCGCAUGCCCUUCACUGGGUGUGUCGGGGAACCAGGACUUUUACUGUGAAAAAAUUAGAGUGUUCAAAGCAGGCCUAUGCUCGAAUACAUUAGCAUGGAAUAAUAGAAUAGGACGUUGCGGUUCUAUUUUGUUGGUUUCUAGGACCGCCGUAAUGAUUAAUAGGGACAGUCGGGGGCGUCAGUAUUCAAUCGUCAGAGGUGAAAUUCUUGGAUCGAUUGAAGACUAACUACUGCGAAAGCAUUCGCCAAGGAUGUUUUCAUUA
rnacentral:rRNA from 1 species